rnacentral:rRNA from 1 species
CGUAGGUGGCAAGCGUUGUCCGGAGUUACUGGGUGUAAAAGGGCGUGUAGGCGGGAAGAUAAGUCAGAUGUGAAAUUCCAUGGCUCAACUGUGGCGCUGCAUCUGAAACUAUUUUUCUUGAGUGAUGGAGAGGAAAGUGGAAUUCCUAGUGUAGCGGUGAAAUGCGUAGAUAUUAGGAGGAACACCAGUGGCGAAGGCGACUUUCUGGACAUUAACUGACGCUGAGGCGCGAAAGCGUGGGGAGCAAACAGGAUUAGAUACCCUGGUAGUCCACGCUGUAAACGAUGGAUACUAGGUGUAGGCGGUGUCGACUCCGUCCGUGCCGAAGCUAACGCAUUAAGCCACCCCGCCUGGGGAGUACGGCCGCAAGGCUA